GUUGGUUUGGAGUAUUCAGCUUCUGUUGUGCUAUUAGUUAGUUUGACUUCCAACCCCAGCCAUGUUGUUCAUCUGGUCAAUUAUUACAUUCUCAGUAAUAGGUGGCAGUUAUGAGCAGACUAUCGAGCCAAACCAACAUGAAGUGUAUGCAGAAGUGGGUAGUAAUGUUCUUCUUUCCUGCAACUUCUCCUCAGCGUACAGUCUACUAUGGUAUAAACAGUCUCCAGGAUCAGCUCCCCAAUAUCUUCUGCUCAUCCAGCACUCCACUGGGAAUGAAUAUAAAGAUGAUUCUCUUGACUCUCGCUUCUCUGGUAAACUGAACAAAGAGAAGACCCGUGUUGAUCUGGAGAUCUCUUCUGUUGAAGUGACAGACUCUGCUAUGUACUACUGUGCUCUGAAUCCCACAGUGACAGGAAACCCAGAAACACUGUACAAAAACCUAACAUCGUUUGAGAGAUUCCUCAUACGGGACUACUCUGGGAUCAUAACUAACACUGAUAGUACAAAAUGGACCCUCACACAUGAAGAAGAGGACAACCUUGUGGAUCUGAAGAUCUCCUCUGCUGAAGUGACAGACUCUGCUCUGCACUGUACAAAAUCUGAUCUUGACAAUAUGAACACAGAGAACCUGAGUCUGAGACCCCUAGAACCAGAGUCUGAAUAG